AGCAGAGAGCCCCUUCAAAAGUUCAGCUGUGCUGGGCGUCUGAUCUUCCUUCCAAGACUGCUUGCAAGGGAGCCCCGCGGGUUUCAGCUUCCACUCAAAAAUGAGGAAAGAGGGCCAUAGCAAAAGAGACCUGCUCAAGUUCACAGACCAUGGCAAUGUCUGGAACCCAGGACUUCACUCCCAGUUCACUCUUUCUCCCAACCCGAACUCAUCUUGAGAGUUUAUAAAGAUGUGUUCCUGGAAUGUCUUCACCAGAUGUUUACCCAAGAAAUUACAGUCGCAGAGUCUUCAACAUGUGCGUGCAUUUU